AGCGAACGCUGGCGGCAGGCCUAACACAUGCAAGUCGAACGAAGUCUUCGGACUUAGUGGCGGACGGGUGAGUAACACGUGGGAACGUGCCUUUAGGUUCGGAAUAACUCAGGGAAACUUGUGCUAAUACCGAAUGUGCCCUUCGGGGGAAAGAUUUAUCGCCUUUAGAGCGGCCCGCGUCUGAUUAGCUAGUUGGUGAGGUAAAGGCUCACCAAGGCUACCAUCAGUAGCUGGUCUGAGAGGAUGACCAGCCACAUUGGGACUGAGACACGGCCCAAACUCCUACGGGAGGCAGCAGUGGGGAAUCUUGCGCAAUGGGCGAAAGCCUGACGCAGCAUGCCGCGUGGAUGAUGAAGGUCUUAGGAUUGUAAAAUCCUUUCACCGGUGAAGAUAAUGACUGUAGCCGGAGAAGAAGCCCCGGCUAACUUCGUGCCAGCCGCCGCUGUAACAC
rnacentral:rRNA from 1 species